rnacentral:lncRNA from 1 species
GGGCUGCUCUCGCCGCUCGGGGACCCCCCCAGGGCGCGCUGCAGCAGCCGCCGCACGGUGACACCGGUGACACUUGGGGACAGCCAGCCCCGGGCGGGGGGCGACGGGGGGGGCAGCGCCGUGUACUUGACUCGUCUGGGGGGCGAGGGGGGGACACGGGGUGACCUCAGCCCCCUCGGGGUGUCCCCAGUGUUCCCAAAUCCAUGGGGGUGUCCCCGAUGUCCCCAAACCCAUCGGGGUGACCUCAGCCCCAUCGGGGUGUCCCCAGUGUCCCCAAACCCACGGGGGUGACCUCAGCCCUAUCGGGGUGUCCCCAGUGUCCCCAAAUCCAUGGGGGUGUCCCCGAUGUCCCCAAACACCGGGAGACUGUCCCCGAUGUCCCCAAACCCAUCGGGGUGUCCCUGAUGUCCCCAAACCCAUCGGGGUCACCUCAGCCCCAUGGGGGUGUCCCCAGUGUCCCCAAACUCAUGGGGGUGUCCCCGAUGUCCCCAAACCCAUCGGGGUGACCUCAGCCCCAUCGGGGUGUCCCCAGUGUCCCCAAACCCACCGGGGGUGUCCCCGAUGUCCCCAAACCCACCGGGGGUGUCCCCAAUGUCCCCAAACCCAUCGGGGUGUCCCCGAUGUCCCCAAACACCGGGAGAGUGUCCCCGAUGUCCCCAAACCCAUGGGGUCACCUCAGUCCCAUAGGGAGUGUCCCCGAUGUCCCCAAACACGGGGAGAGUGUCCCCGAUGUCCCCAAACCCACGGGGUCACCUCAGCCCCAUGGGGGUGUCCCCAAUGUCCCCAAACACCGGGAGAGUGUCCCCGAUGUCCCCAAACCCGCCAGGGGUGUCUCCAACCCCACAAUGUCAUCCCCCGCCCCAUAGGGAGUGUCCCCAGUGUCCCCUCACCCCUCCCGUGUGUCCCCUCCCGUGGUGUCCCCGCGGUGUCCCCGCUGUCCCCUGACCCCUCCCGCGGUGUCCCCGCGGUGUCCCCGCGGUGUCCCCGCUGUCCCCUCACCUGUAGGUGAACGCAGCCGUGCCCAGGGCGGCCGCCACCAGCACGAGCCCCACGAACAGC